UACGGAGGGUGCAAGCGUUAUCCGGAUUCACUGGGUUUAAAGGGUGCGUAGGUGGGUUGGUAAGUCAGUGGUGAAAUCUCCAGGCUUAACUUGGAAACUGCCAUUGAUACUGAGGAUCUUGAGUUCGGGAGAGGUGAGUGGAACUGCGAGUGUAGAGGUGAAAUUCGUAGAUAUUCGCAAGAACACCAGUGGCGAAGGCGGCUCACUGGCCCGAUAC
rnacentral:rRNA from 1 species